rnacentral:rRNA from 1 species
AGAGUUUGAUCCUGGCUCAGGACGAACGCUGGCGGCGUGCCUAAUACAUGCAAGUAGAACGCUGAAGAGAGGAGCUUGCUCUUCUUGGAUGAGUUGCGAACGGGUGAGUAACGCGUAGGUAACCUGCCUUGUAGCGGGGGAUAACUAUUGGAAACGAUAGCUAAUACCGCAUAACAAUGGAUGACACAUGUCAUUUAUUUGAAAGGGGCAAUUGUUCCACUACAAGAUGGACCUGCGUUGUAUUAGCUAGUAGGUGAGGUAAUGGCUCACCUAGGCGACGAUACAUAGCCGACCUGAGAGGGUGAUCGGCCACACUGGGACUGAGACACGGCCCAGACUCCUACGGGAGGCAGCAGUAGGGAAUCUUCGGCAAUGGGGGCAACCCUGACCGAGCAACGCCGCGUGAGUGAAGAAGGUUUUCGGAUCGUAAAGCUCUGUUGUAAGUCAAGAACGGGUGUGAGAGUGGAAAGUUCACACUGUGACGGUAGCUUACCAGAAAGGGACGGCUAACUACGUGCCAGCAGCCGCGGUAAUACGUAGGUCCCGAGCGUUGUCCGGAUUUAUUGGGCGUAAAGCGAGCGCAGGCGGUUUGAUAAGUCUGAAGUUAAAGGCUGUGGCUCAACCAUAGUUCGCUUUGGAAACUGUCAAACUUGAGUGCAGAAGGGGAGAGUGGAAUUCCAUGUGUAGCGGUGAAAUGCGUAGAUAUAUGGAGGAACACCGGUGGCGAAAGCGGCUCUCUGGUCUGUAACUGACGCUGAGGCUCGAAAGCGUGGGGAGCGAACAGGAUUAGAUACCCUGGUAGUCCACGCCGUAAACGGUGAGUGCUAGGUGUUGGAUCCUUUCCGGGAUUCAGUGCCGCAGCUAACGCAUUAAGCACUCCGCCUGGGGAGUACGACCGCAAGGUUGAAACUCAAAGGAAUUGACGGGGGCCCGCACAAGCGGUAGAGCAUGUGGUUUAAUUCGAAGCAACGCGAAGAACCUUACCAGGUCUUGACAUCCCGAUGCUAUUUCUAGAGAUAGAAAGUUACUUCGGUACAUCGGUGACAGGUGGUGCAUGGUUGUCGUCAGCUCGUGUCGUGAGAUGUUGGGUUAAGUCCCGCAACGAGCGCAACCCCUAUUGUUAGUUGCCAUCAUUCAGUUGGGCACUCUAGCGAGACUGCCGGUAAUAAACCGGAGGAAGGUGGGGAUGACGUCAAAUCAUCAUGCCCCUUAUGACCUGGGCUACACACGUGCUACAAUGGUUGGUACAACGAGUUGCGAGUCGGUGACGGCGAGCUAAUCUCUUAAAGCCAAUCUCAGUUCGGAUUGUAGGCUGCAACUCGCCUACAUGAAGUCGGAAUCGCUAGUAAUCGCGGAUCAGCACGCCGCGGUGAAUACGUUCCCGGGCCUUGUACACACCGCCCGUCACACCACGAGAGUUUGUAACACCCGAAGUCGGUGAGGUAACCUUUUGGAGCCAGCCGCCUAAGGUGGGACAGAUGAUUGGGGUGAAGUCGUAACAAGGUA